rnacentral:other from 1 species
AAGCGUCUGCGGCGCAGGUCGGGCCAUAUAGUUCCUUGAACCAAUGCUCUUUGAGCACGGGCUUGGUACAUUGCCUGUCGAGCGUGAUCGUCUCGCGUCAGAUGAACCCAACGGCAGGCUGCCCUCGCCCACCUGAACCCCCGGUUCAGGAUGACGGUUCGGCGGCGUCCGCAGACACCUU